AUUGAACGCUGGCGGAAUGCUUUACACAUGCAAGUCGAACGGUAGAGGGGGCAACCCCUUGAGAGUGGCGAACGGGUGAGUAAUAUAUCGGAACGUGCCCAGUCGUGGGGAUAACGUAGCGAAAGUUACGCUAAUACCGCAUACGAUCUAAGGAUGAAAGCGGGGGAUCGCAAGACCUCGCGCGAUUGGAGCGGCCGAUAUCAGAUUAGGUAGUUGGUGGGGGUAAAGGCUCACCAAGCCAACGAUCUGUAGCUGGUCUGAGAGGACGACCAGCCACACUGGAACUGAGACACGGUCCAGACUCCUACGGGAGGCAGCAGUGGGGAAUUUUGGACAAUGGACGCAAGCCUGAUCCAGCAAUGCCGCGUGCAGGAUNAAGGCCUCGGUUGUAACGUAG
rnacentral:rRNA from 1 species